rnacentral:rRNA from 1 species
AUUGAACGCUGGCGGCAUGCCUUACACAUGCAAGUCGAACGGCAGCACGGGUGCUUGCACCUGGUGGCGAGUGGCGAACGGGUGAGUAAUACAUCGGAACGUACCUUAUCGUGGGGGAUAACGCAGCGAAAGCUGUGCUAAUACCGCAUACGCCCUGAGGGGGAAAGCGGGGGAUCGCAAGACCUCGCGCGAUUAGAGCGGCCGAUGCCUGAUUAGCUUGUUGGUGGGGUAAAAGCCCACCAAGGCGACGAUCAGUAGCUGGUCUGAGAGGACGAUCAGCCACACUGGGACGAAGACACGGCCCAGACUCCUACGGGAGGCAGCAGUGGGGAAUUUUGGACAAUGAGGGCAACCCUGAUCCAGCAAUGCCGCGUGAGUGAAGAAGGCCUUCGGGUUGUAAAGCUCUUUUGUCAGGGAAGAAACACCGGCUCUAACACAGUCCGGGAAUGACGGUACCUGAAGAAUAAGCACCGGCUAACUACGUGCCAGCAGCCGCAGUAA